UACGUAGGGGGCUAGCGUUGUCCGGAAUGAUUGGGCGUAAAGCGUCCGCAGGUGGCUGUGUAAGUCUGCUGUUAAAGAGUGAGGCUCAACCUCAUAAAGGCAGUGGAAACUACAUGGCUAGAGUGCGUUCGGGGCAGAGGGAAUUCCCGGUGUAGCGGUGAAAUGCGCAGAUAUCGGGAAGAACACCCGUGGCGAAGGCGGUUCUCUGGGACGGUUCUGACGCUGAGACGCGAAAGCGUGGGGAGCGAACAGG
rnacentral:rRNA from 1 species